rnacentral:rRNA from 1 species
UACAGAGGUCUCGAGCGUUGUUCGGAUUCAUUGGGCGUAAAGGGUGCGUAGGCGGCGAGGCAAGUCUGAUGUGAAAUCCCGGGGCUCAACCCCGGAACUGCAUUGGAUACUGCCUUGCUAGAGUACUGGAGAGGGAACUGGAAUUUACGGUGUAGCAGUGAAAUGCGUAGAGAUCGUAAGGAAGGCCAGUGGCGAAGGCGAGUUCCUGGACAGUUACUGACGCUGAGGCACGAAGGCCAGGGGAGCAAACGGG